rfam:Bacillus akibai JCM 9157 DNA, contig:contig_25.
UGGUGAUAUCUCCUUUCCACUAUCAAUGGAGGUACUCGGUCAUGCUGUGGGUUUGAAGAAACCUUAGAUGCUAGUCAUCAAAAGUGUGGUGUGAGGACGGGUUAAAUGCCCA